GAUGAACGCUGGCGGCGUGCCUAAUACAUGCAAGUCGAGCGAACAGACGAGGAGCUUGCUCCUCUGACGUUAGCGGCGGACGGGUGAGUAACACGUGGAUAACCUACCGAUAAGACUGGGAUAACUUCGGGAAACCGGAGCUAAUACCGGAUAAUAGAUUGAACCGCAUGGUUCAAUAGUGAAAGACGGUUUUGCUGUCACUUAUAGAUGGAUCCACGCCGCAUUAGCUAGGUGGUAAGGUAACGGCCGACCAAGGCAACGAUGCGUAGCCGACCUGAGAGGAUGAUCAGUCACACUGGAACUGAGACACGGUCCAGACGCCUACGGGAGGCAGCAGGGGGGAAUAUUGGACAAUGGGCGAAAGCCGUAUCCAGCCAUGCCGCGUGUGUGAAGAAGGUCUUCGGAUUGUAAAGCACUUUAAGUGGGGAGGAAGGGCAGUAAGUUAAUACCUUGCUGGUUUGACGUUACCAACAGAAUAAGCACCGGCUAACUUCGUG
rnacentral:rRNA from 1 species